GUGGGGUAUAAGACACCAUGCUUCGUUCCCUUUUCUUGCUUUCUUUCUGGCUCUGAAUUGAAGUCAACUGGAUCUGGGGCCUUCUGAGUUUCUCUACUUACUGCUAUUUCACUCCUGUAUUUUCCUCGUCUAUUCAAGUAGCAGGAAAGAGAAGACCUCCUUCUACCACAGUUCAUUCUGGAAGCAGAAUCAGGAAGAAAGCAAGGACGUGGCACUAGAAGAUAGAUGCUGAAUACUUCAGCUUCCACCAAGGAUGGUCUCUUGAAGAUAGUGAAGUCAGAUAACUGAAAGUGUCCAUCAAUAAGUGAAGAGGAGAAACACUUGCAUGUGUGAUUUCAUGAG
rnacentral:lncRNA from 1 species